CAUGCAAGUCGACGAUGAUGCCCAGCUUGCUGGGUGGAUUAGUGGCGAACGGGUGAGUAACACGUGAGUAACCUGCCCCUGACUCUGGGAUAAGCGUUGGAAACGACGUCUAAUACUGGAUAUGAUCACUGGCCGCAUGGUCUGGUGGUGGAAAGAUUUUUUGGUUGGGGAUGGACUCGCGGCCUAUCAGCUUGUUGGUGAGGUAAUGGCUCACCAAGGCGACGACGGGUAGCCGGCCUGAGAGGGUGACCGGCCACACUGGGACUGAGACACGGCCCAGACUCCUACGGGAGGCAGCAGUGGGGAAUAUUGCACAAUGGGCGAAAGCCUGAUGCAGCAACGCCGCGUGAGGGAUGACGGCCUUCGGGUUGUAAACCUCUUUUAGUAGGGAAGAAGCGAAAGUGACGGUACCUGCAGAAAAAGCACCGGCUAACUACGUGCCAGCAGCCGCGGUAAUACGUAGGGUGCAAGCGUUGUCCGGAAUUAUUGGGCGUAAAGAGCUCGUAGGCGGUUUGUCGCGUCUGCUGUGAAAUCCCGAGGCUCAACCUCGGGCUUGCAGUGGGUACGGGCAGACUAGAGUGCGGUAGGGGAGAUUGGAAUUCCUGGUGUAGCGGUGGAAUGCGCAGAUAUCAGGAGGAACACCGAUGGCGAAGGCAGAUCUCUGGGCCGUAACUGACGCUGAGGAGCGAAAGCAUGGGGAGCGAACAGGAUUAGAUACCCUGGUAGUCCAUGCCGUAAACGUUGGGCGCUAGAUGUAGGGACCUUUCCACGGUUUCUGUGUCGUAGCUAACGCAUUAAGCGCCCCGCCUGGGGAGUACGGCCGCAAGGCUAAAACUCAAAGGAAUUGACGGGGGCCCGCACAAGCGGCGGAGCAUGCGGAUUAAUUCGAUGCAACGCGAAGAACCUUACCAAGGCUUGACAUACACCGGAAACGGCCAGAGAUGGUCGCCCCCUUGUGGUCGGUGUACAGGUGGUGCAUGGUUGUCGUCAGCUCGUGUCGUGAGAUGUUGGGUUAAGUCCCGCAACGAGCGCAACCCUCGUUCUAUGUUGCCAGCGGGUUAUGCCGGGGACUCAUAGGAGACUGCCGGGGUCAACUCGGAGGAAGGUGGGGAUGACGUCAAAUCAUCAUGCCCCUUAUGUCUUGGGCUUCACGCAUGCUACAAUGGCCGGUACAAAGGGCUGCGAUACCGUAAGGUGGAGCGAAUCCCAAAAAGCCGGUCUCAGUUCGGAUUGAGGUCUGCAACUCGACCUCAUGAAGUCGGAGUCGCUAGUAAUCGCAGAUCAGCAACGCUGCGGUGAAUACGUUCCCGGGCCUUGUACACACCGCCCGUCAAGUCAUGAAAGUCGGUAACACCCGAAGCCGGUGGCCCUAACCCUUGGGAAGGAGCCGUCGAA
rnacentral:rRNA from 1 species